rnacentral:rRNA from 1 species
UUAAAUUGAAGAGUUUGAUCAUGGCUCAGAUUGAACGCUGGCGGCAGGCCUAACACAUGCAAGUCGAACGGUAACAGGAAGAGCUUGCUUUUGCUGACGAGUGGCGGACGGGUGAGUAAUGUCUGGGAAACUGCCUGAUGGAGGGGGAUAACUACUGGAAACGGUAGCUAAUACCGCAUAACGUCGCAAGACCAAAGAGGGGGACCUUCGGGCCUCUUGCCAUCGGAUGUGCCAGAUGGGAUUAGCUAGUAGGUGGGGUAACGGCUCACCUAGGCGACGAUCCCUAGCUGGUCUGAGAGGAUGACCAGCCACACUGGAACUGAGACACGGUCCAGACUCCUACGGGAGGCAGCAGUGGGGAAUAUUGCACAAUGGGCGCAAGCCUGAUGCAGCCAUGCCGCGUGUAUGAAGAAGGCCUUCGGGUUGUAAAGUACUUUCAGCGGGGAGGAAGGGAGUAAAGUUAAUACCUUUGCUCAUUGACGUUACCCGCAGAAGAAGCACCGGCUAACUCCGUGCCAGCAGCCGCGGUAAUACGGAGGGUGCAAGCGUUAAUCGGAAUUACUGGGCGUAAAGCGCACGCAGGCGGUUUGUUAAGUCAGAUGUGAAAUCCCCGGGCUCAACCUGGGAACUGCAUCUGAUACUGGCAAGCUUGAGUCUCGUAGAGGGGGGUAGAAUUCCAGGUGUAGCGGUGAAAUGCGUAGAGAUCUGGAGGAAUACCGGUGGCGAAGGCGGCCCCCUGGACGAAGACUGACGCUCAGGUGCGAAAGCGUGGGGAGCAAACAGGAUUAGAUACCCUGGUAGUCCACGCCGUAAACGAUGUCGACUUGGAGGUUGUGCCCUUGAGGCGUGGCUUCCGGAGCUAACGCGUUAAGUCGACCGCCUGGGGAGUACGGCCGCAAGGUUAAAACUCAAAUGAAUUGACGGGGGCCCGCACAAGCGGUGGAGCAUGUGGUUUAAUUCGAUGCAACGCGAAGAACCUUACCUGGUCUUGACAUCCACGGAAGUUUUCAGAGAUGAGAAUGUGCCUUCGGGAACCGUGAGACAGGUGCUGCAUGGCUGUCGUCAGCUCGUGUUGUGAAAUGUUGGGUUAAGUCCCGCAACGAGCGCAACCCUUAUCCUUUGUUGCCAGCGGUCCGGCCGGGAACUCAAAGGAGACUGCCAGUGAUAAACUGGAGGAAGGUGGGGAUGACGUCAAGUCAUCAUGGCCCUUACGACCAGGGCUACACACGUGCUACAAUGGCGCAUACAAAGAGAAGCGACCUCGCGAGAGCAAGCGGACCUCAUAAAGUGCGUCGUAGUCCGGAUUGGAGUCUGCAACUCGACUCCAUGAAGUCGGAAUCGCUAGUAAUCGUGGAUCAGAAUGCCACGGUGAAUACGUUCCCGGGCCUUGUACACACCGCCCGUCACACCAUGGGAGUGGGUUGCAAAAGAAGUAGGUAGCUUAACCUUCGGGAGGGCGCUUACCACUUUGUGAUUCAUGACUGGGGUGAAGUCGUAACAAGGUAACCGUAGGGGAACCUGCGGUUGGAUCACCUCCUUACCUUAAAG